GAUGAACGCUGGCGGCGUGCCUAAUACAUGCAAGUCGAGCGAACAGACGAGGAGCUUGCUCCUCUGACGUUAGCGGCGGACGGGUGAGUAACACGUGGAUAACCUACCUAUAAGACUGGGAUAACUUCGGGAAACCGGAGCUAAUACCGGAUAAUAUAUUGAACCGCAUGGUUCAAUAGUGAAAGACGGUUUUGCUGUCACUUAUAGAUGGAUCCGCGCCGCAUUAGCUAGUUGGUAAGGUAACGGCUUACCAAGGCAACGAUGCGUAGCCGACCUGAGAGGAUGAACGGCCACACUGGAACUGAGACACGGUCCAGACUCCUACGGGAGGCAGCAGUAGGGAAUCUUCCGCAAUGGGCGAAAGCUUGACGGAGCAACGCCGCGUGAGUGAUAAAGGUCUUCGGAUCGUAAAACUCUGUUAUUAGGGAAGAACAAAUGUGUAAGUCACUAUGCACGUCUUGACGGUACCUAAUCAGAAGGCCACGGCUAACUACGUG
rnacentral:rRNA from 1 species